CCCUGUCACUCUCUUCUGUGCCUCGCCCCCCAUUUCCGUCUUACGCUCUUUGCUCCGAGUGUCUCCGUCCGCUUCUCACUCCGAUAGCCUCUCCCCAUUUUGCCCCGCUGCCUGCUAGAUCCCACGUGCGUCCCGUGCUGUUUAAGCUCCGCCCCCCCUCCCCCUGAUGGUGAUCUCACUCAGCACGCUGUCAGCCACUGUUGUUGGCAGAUCGGAGCCCUGCUGGUGUUUUUCAUGGGCGGAGCCAGAGUGAACCCUUUCCCCGGAGCGGAGCGCAGGGCCCAUCCAUCAAGCUGCCUCUCAUGCCGUCCCGUCCAGAAUGAGUUGCGACAGAGGCCUUAACAGGGUCUAGAAGAUAUGAUUCAAUUACUGCCGCGGAUAAUAUAAAAAGCCAAUUCAAUUACUGUGCUCUGAGUUAUCGUAUUUGACCGCGUGUUUGGUAAAUGCCAUCUGGAGUUGAAAAAAACAGGAGUGUUUAUGAAAAGGAAGAGGUGCGGAAAGCAGGGGAAGGAGGACAGCUCGGAAAAAGACGGCAGCGGGAAAAGGGCGCGGUGACAGGUCGCGUAACACCGCGUCAGGCGCGCUGGGUAAUUGCACUUUAAGCGAGGAGGCGUGCUGCAUUCCUCUGUGUUUGUGACAGUUUUAUUAAGAGCUGUCCACCCGCCCUGGCCCUUAGUGAAGUAAGGGAGUGCGGAUAAAGGAGGGGAGCGCAGCUGAGAGACGGACUCGGGGUAGGAAUGUCUCUGAUUUAAACUUGGCUGCUUGUCCUUUUUAAAUCAAAUAAAGUGAUGAGUUUGGGA